rnacentral:rRNA from 1 species
UUAGAGUUUGAUCCUGGCUCAGGAUGAACGCUGGCGGCGCGCCUAACACAUGCAAGUCGAACGGCACCCAUCUUCGGAUGGAAGCGAGUGGCGAACGGCUGAGUAACACGUGGAGAACCUGCCCCCUCCCCCGGGAUAGCCGCCCGAAAGGACGGGUAAUACCGGAUACCCCGGGGUGCCGCAUGGCACCCCGGCUAAAGCCCCGACGGGAGGGGAUGGCUCCGCGGCCCAUCAGGUAGACGGCGGGGUGACGGCCCACCGUGCCGACAACGGGUAGCCGGGUUGAGAGACCGACCGGCCAGAUUGGGACUGAGACACGGCCCAGACUCCUACGGGAGGCAGCAGUGGGGAAUCUUGCGCAAUGGGGGGAACCCUGACGCAGCGACGCCGCGUGCGGGACGGAGGCCUUCGGGUCGUAAACCGCUUUCAGCAGGGAAGAGUCAAGACUGUACCUGCAGAAGAAGCCCCGGCUAACUACGUGCCAGCAGCCGCGGUAAUACGUAGGGGGCGAGCGUUAUCCGGAUUCAUUGGGCGUAAAGCGCGCGUAGGCGGCCCGGCAGGCCGGGGGUCGAAGCGGGGGGCUCAACCCCCCGAAGCCCCCGGAACCUCCGCGGCUUGGGUCCGGUAGGGGAGGGUGGAACACCCGGUGUAGCGGUGGAAUGCGCAGAUAUCGGGUGGAACACCGGUGGCGAAGGCGGCCCUCUGGGCCGAGACCGACGCUGAGGCGCGAAAGCUGGGGGAGCGAACAGGAUUAGAUACCCUGGUAGUCCCAGCCGUAAACGAUGGACGCUAGGUGUGGGGGGACGAUCCCCCCGUGCCGCAGCCAACGCAUUAAGCGUCCCGCCUGGGGAGUACGGCCGCAAGGCUAAAACUCAAAGGAAUUGACGGAAGGGCGAAUUCC